UACGUAGGGUCCAAGCGUUGUCCGGAUUUAUUGGGCGUAAAGAGCUCGUAGGCGGUUCCGUAAGUCGGAUGUGAAACUCGAGGCUACAACCUCGAGACGCCGGUGGAAACCGUAAAGCUAGAGUCCGGAAGAGGAGAGUGGAAUUCCUGGUGUAGCGGUGAAAUGCGCAGAUAUCAGGAGGAACACCCGUGGCGAAAGCGGCUCUCUGGGACGGUACUGACGCUGAGACGCGAAAGCGUGGGGAGCAAACAGG
rnacentral:rRNA from 1 species